rnacentral:lncRNA from 1 species
GUCUCCUCAAGGACACGUCUUUUACUGCAUGCAGCUUCACAGUCAGCUCCUCAAGCAGAAGACUGAACCGUGACUUGUUUUUAGAAGCUCUCCGGGUAGGGAGGACAUAUCCAUAUGCAGGACAGAACCUUGCUUUUCAAAUUCAAGAAAAAACAGUAACUAAUCUAUCGAUUCUUCUGUGAUUCAGUCUGCCAGGGUGUUCUGUAAAGAAUCCUUUUCCAUCCCUAUCACACAUUUGUACGAAAGGGGAGGGAGAGGUGGCAGGGUCCCAGUACACCGGCAGGCACUUCGGCGAUGCCCGGGGCUCCGCUCCCUUUCUGUUGAUAGUUGUAGGCGUCAUUUCUGGCAGCUGCUGCAGCUCGAUGCAGGGAAGGAAGGGGCCACCCACCAAUCACCUCUUUCUGAUGCCACAUUUUUGACGUUCAUGGAAGAGGCCUGUCUCAGAGCUCCCUAAGCUGACAAUCUUUGGGCAGCCAUCUCUAUUCUUCUCCUGGCUGGUGCACUCCUUACAAUAAUAGGCAUCAGAGACUCCCAUGGCCUCCACAGAUCUCACAGUGUCCCUGGUAAAAGCCAUAGUUACACUCAUCAUAUAAGCAUACCAGGGUGAAGGGACAGACACAGCGGUCACAAAUCACACACUUGCCGUCAGUUUUCACACAAUCUUCCGAUGGCAACAUCAGCCUGCUUGCAGCAAAAGAUCAAACCCAGAUAAUGUUCAGCCGUAGCUCCUGCUCACGCUGCAUUGCCCUCUUUUUAAAGCCAAGAAGCCCAUCUGGAGGCAUCAAAUCAUGCUUUAUGCAUAAGUAGGAGCUACAACGCAUUGGCCACAUGCACCUCCCUUGGGGGGACUCAAAUUUACUGAAUCCUGCCUUUGUGCCCAACACUGCAUUUGGAACCUUAUAUAAACAUCUCCACUAUUCCCCAAGAGGGUUCAUCCUUUCCCCUUGUUUCUUCAUUAUCUAUGUCUAACUUCCAUCCUUCCUGCUUUAGUUGGACUUGCUGUUCAUUUGAGAGGAAGCUGCUGACCACAGAGUUCAGCAAAAGAAUGGGAGUAUGGAGGCUCAAAGUGUGGCCCCUGGAGAAGCUGAAUGAGAAGUAGCCCUGGAUAUGGUGUAGACUCCCACAAACCAGAGAUCCUGCCCUCAGUGCCUCAGCUUUAGGAAGCUGCUCCCUGCCUUGCUCCUGGGCAGACAGGUAUGGUAUUGAUUUCCCCAUACCCCAGCAUCCCCACCCCAGUUUCCCUCUCUUCCCCCAUUGCCCGGUGCUUUGGCUGGCAUGCCCCUGACAACCAGGGAGGGCAAGUCCUUCUCCUGGUGGGUAGCCGGCUGGCUUCCUCCCAGCUCAGAGCCAAGCAUGCCUCAAUUAGGUACGCCCUAGGAUGGGAAGUCCUUCCAGGGGCCUUUCCUCAAAAGCCGGCCAGAAGUGGGCUCCUUCAAGCCUAAAGUUAAGCCGAUGGAGUAUGCAGGGUGGAGACGUGAAGGAAGGCCACACCACCUUCUGGUGGCAACUCCGCCUGGCCCACGUUUUGCCGCUUUUCCUCUUUCCCUGUCAACCACACCACGUGAGGCCUCUUUCCCAGCAAACCAAAGCUCCCUCUGGCGGCCCAGGAGGAGUCAAAUCUUCUCCCCACCUGUGUACAUUAUUUUCCAGCUGUAGCAAGUAGAGACACGCUCUGUGUCCAGAUGGCCUCACCCCAGCUGCCCUUUUGUCCCACUGAUGAGCCAGGUGUUUAGCAUUUUAAACAACUAGCACUCUGAUUGACAGACUGACCAUUAAAUUGACUUUCUGACUGAUGGAUCCUGAUGGACCACUGUCUAUCUGAAAAGUUAAUCCUGAGUAAUUGACUGGCUGGUUGGCUGAUUAAAUAUCUAAACACACAAAUCACUUGAUUGACCUAAUGGAUUUCUUUUUUUGUUGCUUUUUGGUUUUUUGUUUUUGAGGCGGAGUCUCGCACUGUUGCCCAGGCUGGAGUGCAGUGGCGUGAUCUCCGCUCACUGCAAGCUCUGCCCCCCGGGUUCAUGCCAUUCUCCUGCCUCGGCCUCCUAAGUAGCUGGGACUACAGGCGCCCGCCACCAUAUAUAUAUAUAUAUAUAUAUAUAUACAUAUAGUAUUUUUAGUAGAGACGGGGUUUCACUGUGUUAGCCAGGCUUGUCUCAAUCUCCUGACCUCGUGAUCUGCCCGCCUCGGCCUCCCAAAGUGCUGGGAUUACAGGCAUGAGCCACCACACCUGGCCACCUACUGGAUUUCUUACUGAUGUACUAACUGUAGGUAACUAAACAUCUGACAAGCUUAAACUGACUACAUAACUGACUCUUUAACCAGCUGAAUGACUGACUGCCCAGUGGAGGA